GGAGUUUGGGCCGUGUCUCAGUCCCAAUGUGGCCGUUCACCCUCUCAGGCCGGCUACUGAUCGUCGCCUUGGUGGGCCUCUACCUCACCAACUAGCUAAUCAGACGCGGGUCCAUCUUAUACCACCGGAGUUUUUCACACUGAGUCAUGCGACUCUGUGCGCUUAUGCGGUAUUAGCGUUCGUUUCCAAACGUUAUCCCCCUGUAUAAGGCAGGUUACCCACGCGUUACUCACCCGUCCGCCACUAAGUCACUAAAUCGUCAUUCCGAAGAAAUCGUAAUAAAGUGCUUCGUUCGACUUGCAUGUGUUAAGCACGCCGCCAGCGUUCAUC
rnacentral:rRNA from 1 species